rnacentral:lncRNA from 1 species
AUAACUGCUUCCACCUCCCAUUCUCCACUAUUUUGGUAUAGAUAUUUCAUCCUAAAAUCAAACAUGGAGACUUCUGUUUCAGGCCAUUUCAGAUUUCCUAAAACUGAAAUUGCCUUCCCGCUAUUAAUAAAUAGAAAAAUUGAUAAAAUAUACAAGGAAACUGUUUUCAGACAUUGCACAACAAACAGCCCUUGACUGGAAUCCCCUAAAGAAAGGAAAUAAAAUGCCAGGUCCUAUAAUCACCCCAGCUCUCUGCCUAGAGGUAAAUGAGUCUCUUUUCAUCAAAGAGGAAGAGAUCCGAGUUCAAGAGGCUGAAACAGUCAGAACAGAGUACUACAGAGAGAAAACUUUGCAGAGAAAACUUUGCAGAGAAAAAGCUCCAGAAAUCUUCUGACUGUUCCCCUUAAGUUUGUUGCUAAAAACUAAUAUGCACAGGCAGAGUGAGGUCUCAUGAGGCCAGGUGAGAAUACCAGGAAGCUAUAAACUGAUCUAUUCUCAGAGCUCAACCAGGGAAACGGAACAUUUGAGUUCUAACCAUCCUGAAUAAGAAAUUCUCAUUGAACACACAGGGCAUUUGGUAAAAACCAUGGAAGUGAAUCACCUUAGUAACCAGAUUCAACAAGUUAUACAUGAAGAUGACUCUUACCCACCCAUGUAGAAGGAGUUCUAAGAUGGUCUCCCAAAUACUUGCCGCUGUCAUACAGCUUUGUACAAACCCUCCACCCCCUCCCGUUGGGUAUGCAUGGAACAUAAUCCUCUUAACAAAGAAGCUACAUUUACUUGUAAUGUUAAAACUCUGAGCAAACUAGGAAUACAAAUAAACUUCCAUAGAAGAUGAGUAAAAAUUAAUAACAUAGAAAAUGAAAAAGAAUAAAAAAUAAAUUGACUGAAGAAAAAAAUAGAAAAUCUGAAGAGCCUUAUAUCUAUUAAAGAAACUGGAUUUUUUACUUAAAAUAUUUUCUUUUUUAUUUGGUUUAGGGCUGUACCCGCAGCAUACAGACAUAUCCAGGCUAGAGGUCCAAUCAGAGCUAUAGCCUCUAGCCUACGCCAGAGCCACAGCAAUGCCAGAUCCGAGCCACAUCUGCAACCUACAUCACAGGUCACGGCAAUGCUGGAUCCUUAACCCACUGAGCAAGACCAAGGAUUGAGCCUGUGUCCUCAUGCGUACUAGUCAGAUUCAUUUCCUCUGAGCCAUGACUGGAACUCCAAAAUAUUUUCUUAAUUAAAAAAAAAAAAUCUUUUCAAAUCCUGGAUAAGCCUGACAUAAAUAAACAAACAAAUAAAUAUUUUUGAAAACUUGUCAUGAGAAAGUAAAAUAAAACUUAAAAACCUUUGGGCUCAUAUGACUUUAUUGGUAUAAAAAUAGAAAGGAAAAAUAUCCAACAACCAUUCAUGAUAAUAACUCCAAGAAAACUAGGGAUAGAAAGGAAUGUUUUUAACCUGAUAAGCAAUAGCUACCAAAAACCACAGAGCUCACAUCACACUAAAGGUGGAAAUAUAAUAAUUUCCCACUAAGAUCAAAAAUAAAAAUCUUAUCUCUUCUACUUAAUUUUGUUCGGAUGCAAAAAGGGGGAAAGUGAAAUAAAAUUCAGACAGAUUGGGAAUGAUUUCAUAAUACUGCAUAGAGAAAAUCUAAAGAAAUACACAAGAAAGAUACCAGAAUUAAUAAGUGAAUUUAGCAAGAUGGAGAAUAUAUAGCUGAGAAAAAAACACUUAUAUUUCUAUAUAAAUGCAGUAAAAUAAAGCUGGAAAUUUACAUUUAAUAAUUAAUCUUAUAAUAGCAUUCAGAAACAAGAUAUUCAGAAUAAAUUUAACAAAUUUGGGCAAGACAUGUAAAGUGAAAACUACAAAAUAGUGCUGAAAUUAAAGAUUUAAAUCAGUGAAGAAAUAUACCCUAUUUAAGGAUCAAAGACUGAAAAUUAAGAUGUCAGUUAUCUCAAAAUUGGUCUUUAGAAUCAAUACAGUCCUAUCCAAGAACAUUAUCACUUUUCAUUCUCCCUUAUUAUUACCACUGAUUUGCUUUCAUUGUUCCAUGUGAAAACCAAAGUUAAAUGAAGAGUAUUUCUGAGUCUGUGUAUGGAGUUGGGAAAAAUUUUUUCUAUAGGCAGAAUGGAAGGAAUAAUAGUGAUUUAUUCUCAGGAAACAUCAGUGUUUAGGACAUGGGUAGAAAAAGAGAAAUAGGAAGUGAAACUGAGGGUAAGUUACAUGAAGUAGAACAUGAAGUAUUUCAAGAAGAAAAGUAAGGACAGUUAAUUUGUUACCAAGAAAUCCAGUAGAAUGAAGAAGGAAGUGAAGAGAGACCAGAAUAUAAAAAGGGAGUUUUGUAGUAUCCAUAACAAACACCUCAGUAAACGUGUCCCCCGGUUCCUGUGUUCCUUCCUUUAAGAAAUCACCCCUCAUUCACCUAUCCAGAGAGGGGUACACUUUCAAUCAUGUUCAUCCUGUGCCCCAUUAGCAUAAUUUGACGGCUGGUGCUAUCCCAGUAAAGUUCUCUCUCCUAAGUCAGAGUGGCAUUCUACCAAGUUCUCUUACUCAGUGUGGGAUUAUUUUGAGGAUUUACAUUUUUAAGUUUGUUGUUUGACUAUUCCUUCCCCCCAGCAUAUGGAGUUCCUAGGCCAAGAAUCAGAUCCAAGCCUCGAUUGUGACCUAUGUCAUAGCUGCAGCAACACUGGAUCCUUAACCCACUGCAACCAGCUGGGGAUCGAACCUGAGACCUGCACUGCUGCAGGUAGAUUCUUAACCCACUGUGCCACAGUGAGAACUCAAAGGAUUACAAUUUUGAAACUAAAAUUGAGACUACUUCAAAAACAGACCAUAACCUCAAAUUUCCUAUCUCAACGGAUACCACUCUGCUUAUCAUAGAUCCAUUUACUCUUUCAUUUAUUCAACCUUCUUUAAAAGAUGUAACUCUAUUUGUAAGGCACAAAUUAUACCAUAUGGUAAUAUAGCUUUAUCAAUAAUGUUCAAAAUGUCACUUUCUUUAUAAUUUAUAUAUUUGGUAAUAUUUUAAUGACUGGUUUAUUAAUGAUUCAUCCAGCAAUUAUGUGGUUGUCAAUUUAACUUGGAUUUUCUAUGGCUUUUGACAUAGAUAUUUUGCUGUUAUUAUUUGUCACAUAGUUUUAUGAAUAGAUUGUCUUCAUCAUGAAUUAUACCUGAAGGAGUUAUUGCAUAUAAUGAGGAUUUUGUAGGGCAUACCACACAUAGGCAAAAGUAGUGAUGAUUAAGUCUUAAAAAUUACCUUUUUUGGCUUAUUGAAAAAGUUUUGUUUUCACUUUUUGUUGUUGUUGUUUUUGUUUUUCGUUUUUUUUGUUUUUGAAGGAACACUAUGCACUUGUCACUGUGCUAGAGAUGGGCUCUGGACCCAAGGAAUUCACAUUUUAGUGAAAUUCAGAAUACAGCCUUAAUAUGGAAUGUAAUGUUUUUAUCAAUAUAAAAGUUAGUAUCUUUAUUCUCUUAAAUAUCACUAAUGAAACUCCUGUUUGUCUUUCGUCUUGUUUGUCUAAUACAUGUUUGCCCAUUUUUUCAAAAAUUUUAGUGUAACUUUGCUCUAGCUUUUUGCACUGUGAACAGUAUAUAAUUUAAUUUACUUUUGCUUUUGUUCAUUGACAUAAUCUUAAAGCAUUUUUGCUUCAGUAGGGGAUUUUAUCCUAUGAACAUUUAUAACAAUAAUUGAUGUUAUUGGUUAUAUUUGUUUCCUUGUUUUAUGUUUUUGGUUUAUUAGACUUCCUUGUUGUUUCAUUUAUUUUCUGCCUGUUUAUUAUAUGCACAAAACCAUUCUACUCUAUGCAAUGACUUGAAAGUGAAACAUUUUAAAACUUCCAGUGCUAUUUGUCUCCAAGUUUCCAAAACCUACGUGAGUCUACUUCUCCUAAUAGGAAAAUUAAACAAAUACACAAAAAUGUUAAUCUCUCUAAUGCUGGAGGAAAAUCAAUAUCUUUGAUUAUUCUGCCUCAUACCCAUUUCUAUUUUCUUGUCAAUUCAAUCUUGAAAUAUGAACCCCAAUUAUCUUUAUUUCUGAGAAACCAUAAGUAUUCCUCUUAUUUAUCCAUCCCAAUGGGAACUGAUUUAGAUUUGUCAUUUCAUGUUAAUAUUUCAGUGAUCCUGAGUACUAUUUAAAUGUUAUGAACUACGCAUUUGUAACUUCAUUUGUACUUACCUCAAGGUCAGCUGUUCAGUGGGAGUAAGUCUUUAAGACAUUCAGUCCACUUCUCCCCUCAGCACCCCAAAGCCAUCAUGUUUCUGAGAAAAUCUUUGCUGCAUUUAUAUGUAUAUAUCAACUUACUUGGAUGUUGACAUUUUGUUUCAGAAUUGCUUUCUCUCAAAAUUUUAUGCUUGGUUAUUGUUUCACUGUCUUCCAGAAUUUCAUGUUGUAGAGAAUUGUUACUGUGAGAUUGUUUUUAAGUCACCAGGUUUUGUUAUUGUUGUGUUCUGCUUGAAAGACAGUAGGAUUUUUUUUUUUUUUCUUGAGGCUGAAGAUGCCACUAAUAUUUCUCUAGGGAAGGGUCUCUUCAGUUUUGCCUAGAAAAUAAUCAUUUUUCAGACUUGAGACUUUCUUUAUUUUUACUUCAUUAGUUAUUGUCAUCUUUCAUUCAUUCUCAGUUUGGUUUUUUUUUUGUUUGUUUUUGUUUAGUUGUUGUUUCUUUUAUUUUUAUGGCCACACCUAUCAUAUGGAAGUUCCCAGGCCAGGGACUGAAUCCAAGCCACAGCUGCCACCUACACUGCAGCUGCAGAAACACCAGAUCCUUUAAACCAUUGCCAGGCACUGAACCUACACCACAGCCACAACCUUAAGCCACAGCAGUGACAACACUGGAUCCUUAACCCACUGAGCCACGAGGGAAGUCCACUGCUAACUUCAUUUCUAACUCUAAAUCCAUUUAGGUAAUAGAUGGGAAGAUUUGUCUCUCAAAUCUAAACCAGAAGUGAAUUGUUCUACUACCUUCAGUUUUAUUUCCAAGAACUAGAUUAGGAUUAUAAACUGUAGAGAGAUUGUAAUGAACUACUGAUGUUGGUCCAAUUCUAAGACUCUGAAAUGGGAAUAAGUGCAGAAUAAAACUCAUGGUCUCCAAACUGUUUUGAUUAAAAUAUCCUAUCAGAAAAGAAAAAAAAAAACACUCACAAUAUAUAAUACAUGUGAGAGGUGGUGUAUUAGCAAGCUACUGUCACACCUAAGGGUCCUAUUCAGUCAUGGAGUGAGUGCAGUUUUCUAAUUUAAAUAUCCCCUGCAACCCAAACUGGAAGAUAGAUAAAUAGAAAUCUUCUGUUGCAUAUCUUUUGAUUACCAUCCAAGCAUGAACAGGCAAGGAUUAUGUUUAUCAUUCCAGCUCAUCAGUUUUUCAGCUAAUUCUUGAGUAGGCUGACAACUAUUUUUAGGCUUCAUUGCCAUGGUUUAUUUUCAUCACUUUUGUGUGUAGGAUGACAGAAGGAAAACUUCAAGAGCAUUUUAGUUUGAAUGUGGUGUAUGACAUAUCACACAUGACCCAUCUACAAUUCACCUAAGAAAAUCUGAAAGAUCCAUACUCUAAAAUAAAAAUCUGAUUAUGUCAUGCCCCUUGUUAAAAUCCUUCAGUGACUCCCGAUUACCUGUAGAAUAUAAUUAAAACUUCUCCAUGGGGCUAAUAUGGUCAUUUAUGAUCUGACUUCUGCCUUAUUUUUCAGCAUCACUUGUGUCCACUGCUCCAGAAAUACCCUGACCUCUUAUAUUUAGGAACCACUCUAUUCCCAAAAAUCAUUCAUUCCUAAAUUCCAUCAUGUCUAAGUAUGUACUGUUCCUGCCACAGGAAAUAAGGAGUAUCUACUACUCUCCUCUUCUGUCUGUUUGACCAACAAGUCAUUUGCCAGAGAACCAAUAUGUCAAUCACAAGAAAUGGACACUCCAACCACUAUAUGUGAUUUUAUACACACGUAUGUUGGUGUGUGUACACAGGUAUCUACACAUAGGUACAUACAAAUGUAUAUGAUUACAUUAUACAAAGUAUAACUUCAAAAGAAUGAAGACAUCUUCAACCACUUACCUCUUUCUCUCUCUGUUUAAUAACAUGGUACCAUGUUAUGUAUUUAUUCCCAUCCAUCUACCUCCUUCUUUUUUUCUAGAUUGGCUUCUUACCAUCUACCUUAUAUAUUACCCCAAUUUACAUCCCAUAAUCCCUGAAUCCCAAAUACAAGUGUAUAAAUAAGGAAAAUACAAUCUUAUUUGUGUUUACCCAUGACCCAAUAAAUUGCAGCAGAGGUAGAGAAUGUGAAUUUAAGAAAAAUGCCACCUACCAGUCUUUGGCCCAUGUAGCUUCUCUAAGGGGAUGUAUAAGGGCAGUCAGGGAAGAGAGAAAAUAACUGGGAUGUCUGAGCAGGUAGUAGCUUUCAUAUUUCUAUUUCCUGGCUGUCUUCUCCACUAGAAUGAAUUUCUUCUGAAAAAACUUUUGUCUUUAUAAUCUUUAUAUGAUUAGAGUCUAGCACAUAAUUGGAACAUAGUUAAUUAUUUACUAAGUUUAUGGAUAUAAGGUGGUAAACUAAAAAGGAGUAACUUUCUAGAAAGUAUUUUCAUAUAAGGAAGUCAGAUCUAUUUGUAGGCAGGGAGGUUGUGCAAUCUACAGAUUUGAUGCAAUUCCUAUCAAAAUAUCAAUGGCAGUUUUCAUAGAACUAGAAAAAAUAACUUCAACAUUUGUAUGGAAAGACAAAAGACCCAACAUAGCCAAAACUAUCUUGAGAAAGAACAGAGCCAGAGGUAUCACACUCUGGCUUCAGACUAUACUACAAUGCUACAGCCAUCAAAACAGUAUGGUACUCACACAAAAAUAGGCACAUAGAUCAAUGGAAAAAAAGUGAUAGCCCAGAAAUAGACCCAUGCACUUAUGGUCAAUUAAUUUACCAAAAAAAAAAAGAAGGAAAGAUGCACAACAGAGAAAAGACAGUCUCUUCAGUAAAUGGUGCUGGGAAAACUGGACAGCAACAUGCAAAAGAAUGAAAUUAGGACAUUUUCUAACACCAUACACAAAAAAUAAACUCAAAAUGGAUUAAAGGCCUAAAUGUAAGACCAGAAAUCAUAAAGCUCCUAGAAGAAAACAUAGAUGUAAUUAAUUCUGUUUGACAUAAAUUGUAGUGAUACUUUGGGGAACUGUAUCCUAAAGCAAAGGGAACAGAAGCAAAAACAAACAAAUGGGAUCUAGUUAAACUUAAAAACUUUUGCACAGCAA